AUUGAACGCUGGCGGCAGGCCUAACACAUGCAAGUCGAGCGGAUGAGGGUAGCUUGCUAUCUGAUUCAGCGGCGGACGGGUGAGUAAUGCCUAGGAAUCUGCCUGGUAGUGGGGGACAACGUUUCGAAAGGAACGCUAAUACCGCAUACGUCCUACGGGAGAAAGUGGGGGAUCUUCGGACCUCACGCUAUCAGAUGAGCCUAGGUACGAUUAGCUAGUUGGUGAGGUAAAGGCUCACCAAGGCGACGAUCGUUAACUGGUCUGAGAGGAUGAUCAGUCUCACUGGAACGGAGACACGGUCCAGACUCCUACGGGAGGCAGCAGUGGGGAAUAUUGGACAAUGGGCGAAAGCCUGAUCCAGCCAUGCCGCGUGUGUGAAGAAGGUCUUCGGAUUGUAAAGCACUUUAAGUUGGGAGGAAGGGCAGUAAGUUAAUACCUUGCUGUUUUGACGUUACCGACAGAAUAAGCACCGGCUAACUUCGUGCCAGCCGCCGCGGUAA
rnacentral:rRNA from 1 species